UACGAAGGUCCCAAGCGUUGUUCGGAAUCACUGGGCGUAAAGGGCGCGUAGGCGGCGUGGUAAGUCAGAUGUGAAAUCCCGGGGCUCAACCCCGGAACUGCAUCCGAUACUGCCAUGCUAGAGGACUGGAGAGGUAGCUGGAAUUCUUGGUGUAGCAGUGAAAUGCGUAGAGAUCAAGAGGAACACUCGUGGCGAAAGCGAGCUACUGGACAAUUCCUGACGCUGAGGCGCGAAGGCGAGGGUAGCGAAAGGG
rnacentral:rRNA from 1 species